UACGUAGGGGCCGAGCGUUGUCCGGAGUUAUUGGGCGUAAAGCGUGCGCAGGCGGCUUCGCGCGCCCGACGUGAAAGCCCCCGGCUUAACCGGGGAGAGUCGUUGGGGACGGCGGAGCUUGAGGGCGGGAGAGGUCGGUGGAAUUCCCGGUGUAGUGGUGAAAUGCGUAGAGAUCGGGAGGAACACCUGUGGCGAAGGCGGCCGACUGGGCCGACCCUGACGCUGAGGCGCGAAGGCGUGGAGAGCGAACGGG
rnacentral:rRNA from 1 species